AUGUCCCGUAAUUUGUUCAAACGCAUAGCCGAUGGUAUACUUGAGCAUGAUUAUGAUGGUUAUUUUACUCAAAAAAGAAGUGCUUCUGGAGCUCUUGGGUUACAUCCUCUGCAAAAGAUGACCGCGGCAAUGCGGAUGCUAACAUAUGGAAUAGCAGCUGAUGGUGCUGAUGAGUACAUCCGGUCCGCUGAGGCUACUAAUUUAGAGUCUUGCAAGAAAUUUGUGAUCAAAGUUUGUGAAGUUUUUGGGGAAAGGUACCUGAGAUCUCCAAAUGAAGAAGACAUUGCUAGGUUACUUGCAAUAGGGGAGGAAAGAGGAUUUCCUGAUGGUAUCUAUCCACGGUGGGCAACAUUUGUGAAGAGCAUACCAGCUCCAGAUACCAGAAAACAUAAAACUUUUGCCAAGAGGCAAGAGGGGGCUAGGAAAGAUGUGGAACGAGCCUUUGGAGUUCUUCAAUCCCGUUUUGCCAUUGUUCGUGGACCUGCUAAAGGAUGGAAACGUAAAGAAAUCGGUGAUGUCAUGAAAGCUUGUGUCAUAAUGCACAAUAUGAUAGUUGAAGAGGAGCGACAAACUGGUCGGCAAAGCUGCACUUUUGAGGCAAUGGGAGAAAGAGUCACGGUCUCU
rnacentral:rRNA from 1 species